GACGAACGCUGGCGGCGUGCCUAAUACAUGCAAGUCGAGCGAUGAAGAUUGGUGCUUGCACCAAUUUGAAGAGCAGCGAACAGGUGAGUAACGCGUGGGGAAUCUGCCUUUGAGCGGGGGACAACAUUUGGAAACGAAUGCUAAUACCGCAUAACAACUUUAAACAUAAGUUUUAAGUUUGAAAGAUGCAAUUGCAUCACUCAAAGAUGAUCCCGCGUUGUAUUAGCUAGUUGGUGAGGUAAAGGCUCACCAAGGCGAUGAUACAUAGCCGACCUGAGAGGGUGAUCGGCCACAUUGGGACUGGGACACGGCCCAAACCCCUACGGGAGGCAGCAGUAGGGAAUCUUCGGCAAUGGACGGAAGUCUGACCGAGCAACGCCGCGUGAGUGAAGAAGGUUUUCGGAUCGUAAAACUCUGUUGGUAGAGAAGAACGUUGGUGAGAGUGGAAAGCUCAUCAAGUGACGGUAACUACCCAGAAAGGGACGGCUAACUACGUG
rnacentral:rRNA from 1 species